UCACGCAUUCAUCAUUACACUUCUGCUGGAAACACACUCCAGCGAGGCUCCAACUGUGCAUCGCUUCAAGAAAUGAUCAGGAGAUGCUGUAAUGUGUCUGGCAUCCAAGCCAACAAAACCAAGAGACCCGAAGGACACUUUACCCAGCAUCCUCUCUGUUAAAGUGUACACGUGUGUGUGAUUCACCUCUCUGGCGUCCAUCACCGUUCCCACUCCGACGGUGAGGGUCAUGCUGGGAACUUUGGAGAGAUCGUUCCCG